CUGCAGCUCAAGUGGUGACCGCUAUUAUUGGGCCUAAAACGUUCGUAGCCGGUUUGGUAAAUGCCUGGGUAAAUCGUGUAGCUUAACUAUACGAAUUCCGGGUAGACUGCCAAGCUUGAGACCGGGAGAAGCUAGAGGUACUCCUGGGGUAGAGGUGAAAUUCUGUAAUCCUGGGGGGACCACCAGUGGCGAAGGCGUCUAGCUAGAACGGGUCUGACGGUGAGGAACGAAGCCCUGGGGCGCAAACCGGAUUAGAUACCCGAGUAGUCC
rnacentral:rRNA from 1 species